UACAGAGGUCUCAAGCGUUGUUCGGAUUCAUUGGGCGUAAAGGGUGCGUAGGCGGCAAGGCAAGUCAGGUGUGAAAUCCCGGAGCUCAACUCCGGAACUGCACUUGAUACUGCCCUGCUAGAGUACUGGAGAGGAGACUGGAAUUUACGGUGUAGCAGUGAAAUGCGUAGAUAUCGUAAGGAAGACCAGUGGCGAAGGCGAGUCUCUGGACGACUCCUGACACUGAGGCACGAAAGCUAGGGGAGCAAACAGG
rnacentral:rRNA from 1 species